GAAAUGUUGAAGGCAGUCUUACAGAAAACAAAAACAAAACAAAACAAAAAAAUGGUACAACCAGACAGGCUUCGCUCCAAAGCAGAGAACACAGGAACUACUUAUUACAUGAUUUAGAUAUUUCUAAUGUAGAUUAUCUUUUCAAAUCAUACAUUUUUAUUAAAAUGAAAUAUAAAGUUUAUAUUUAUAAAAAUUCACAGUAGCAUAUAUGUCAAUAAAGAAAAAUGGAAAUAUACCAUAGUCUCUCCUAACAAACAUCAAAAAAUAGAAGCUCAAACAAUGUUCUCAUAUUUUACAUGACUUAAUACAUUAUUUAAUUGCAAGUUUUGAUAAUUUAAUGGUCCAUGGAACACAUUUCUAAAGAAACAAAGGUACUUAAUGAACCUUAACACAAAUAUUUAAUCAUUCAAAAAUACUUAAAGGGCAAACAAAAUUUUUGGAUAAAGUUAACUCACUCAGUCUGUAUGUCCUACCAUUAAAUAUGAACCAUCCAAAGUACUGAGCUGAGUCUCUGCUUAAUUCAUGGUAUGGAUUCAAGAUGCUGUUCUUUUUUCUAAUUGUUUAAUACAUCCCAUCCCUUCUGUUUCACCAUCCUCUGCUAAAAUGUAGAAACAGAGUGUCAUUUCUAACAUCACUCCAAGUAAAGAACUUACCAUUCUUGAAUGGUUUAGCUCAUGCUGAUUAAUUUUACUAUUCAUUUUUGCUAUAUACAUAAGGUGUUAACUGAUAUUUGUCCAAGUGUUCUAAUUUUACUCUCAUUAAGACAACCACAUAAAGGAAGAUGUGGGAUCUGUUUUAGAGCAAUGAAGGAAAAAAAAAAACUGAAAAUUAGUAGUUUCUGGGAAGUAGAACAUGAAAGGCCACAGACUGAACAGCCUCUGCAUUUGCUGAUGGCACUUGGAUCACCCCUGGCUGCCGUUUCUGGGAAUUGGCUCUGCUGUACUUCCACUGGGAAAAAUAGAAACUUGAAACAUUUUUGUCACAACACUUCUCUCAGGUUAAAAUUCUUCAGUGGCAGCAACAAUUUGUGUCUGUUAUCCUCUUAAACCUAUUCUGAAUAUGUGUGUGAUUUGGGGUAACAGACAGGCUGUUACAAACAAGUGGACUUCCUGGCUCCUGUACUAGAUAGUAAUAGUAAUAGCUCUUUUUUUUUCAGAUUUUUAAAUUUGAAUUGGAAACAAGAUUGUUUUAAAUGACAAUCCCAGUUCCCUUCUCCCUCCCAUCUUCCACUACCACCACCCCACAACUAAAACCCUGCCUAUCACAUAUCCUUUCUGCUACUUCUGGAUGGUGAGGACUUCCAUAGGGUGUCAUCAGAGUCUAUCCUAUCCUUUGGGAUGAGGCCUGGUCCCACCCCCAUGUGUCUUGACUCAGGGAGUAUUCCUCUAUGUGGAAUGGGCUCACAAACUCCACACCUAUGCUAGGGAUAAGUACUGAACUAUUACAGGAGGUCCUGUAGAUCUCUGAGGUUUCCUCACUGAAGCCCAUGUUCCUGGAGUCUAGAUCAGUCCCAUGCUGGUAUUCCAGCUAUCAGUCUGGGGAACAAGAGUUCCCCAAUGUUCAGGUUAGCUGUUUCUGUGGGUUUCACCAGCUAGGUCUGGACCCCUUGUCUUCACUUGUCCUUCUCUGCAUCUGGACUCAAGUUCAGUUUUGUGAUUAGCUGGUGAUCCACACCUGCUGGAUGAGGGCUUUCGGGAGGCAUAUAACUCAGUCAUCAAUCUCAUUAUCAUGGGAGGGCAUUUAAGGUAUCCUCUCCUCUGUUGUUUAGAUUGUUAGCUGGUGGCAUCGUUGUAGAUCUCCAGACAUUUCCCUAGUGCCUGAUUUCUCUGUAAACCUAAAAUGUUUCCCUCUAUUAUGGUAUCUCCAUUCUUGUUAUAUUCUAAUCUUCCCAGACUCAAAAUUUUGCUCCCUCAUGUCCUCUGCAUCCUUCCUCUUCUCCCCUUCUCAUUCUCCUAGCUUCCUCCACCCUCUUCCCAUGCUUCAAAUUUGCUCAUGGGUUCUUGACCCUUUACCCUUCUCCAGGGGACCAUGUAUAUUUCUCUUAGGAUCCUCCUUGUUUACUAGCUUCUCUGGCAGUGUGGAUGGUAGGAUGGUAAUCCUUUAUGUCAAAAACCUGCAUAUGAGUGAGUACAUACCAUGUUUGUCUUUUUGUGAUUUGGAUACCUUGCAUAGAAUGGUUUCUUCUAGAUCCAUCCAUUUUCCUGCAAAUUUCAAGAUUCCAUUAUUUUUUUCUGCUGAGUAGUACUUCAUUGUGUAAAUGUACCACAUUUUUUCUAUCCCUUCUUCAGUUUAGGGGCAUCUAGGAUGCUUCCAAUUUCUGGCUAUUACAAAUAGUGCUGCUAUGAAUAUAAUUGAACAGAUGUCCUUGUUGUAUGAAUGUGCUUCUUUUGGGUACAUGCCUAAGAGUGGAAUUGCUGGAUCUUGUGGUAGACUGCAUCCCCCUUUCUUGAGGAUUCGCCAUACUGAAUUCCAAAGUGACUUAUGAGUUGGCACUUCCACCAGAAGUGGAGAAAUGUUCCCCUUUCUCCACAUCCUCUCCAGCAUAAACUGUCAUUGGUAUUUUUGAUUUUGUCCAUUCUAACAGGAGUAAGAUGGUGUCUCAGAGUUGUUUUGAUUUACAUUUCCCUGAUGGCUAAGGAUGUUGAAGGCUUUCUUAUGUGUCUUUCAGCCACUUUAUAUUCCUCUAUUGAGAAUUCUAUUGUCCUUGAAAUUCUACCUAGAGCAAUAACACAAUAAAAGGAGAUCAAGGGAAUGCA
rnacentral:lncRNA from 1 species